AAGCCAGGUGCCAGCCAGAAGAGUGACAAAGUGUUGGGACUCCUCUGCAAACAUGGCUACGGAGAAGUCACCCUUAGCGUCCUGCAGUGAGGAGGAGAAGGACAGCAUCUGUGACAGGCAGCUCACAGUUCUUGAUUGCCAAAAUCAGUAACGAUGACGCACAUCUGGACAGAGUAUGUGCUUCUGCCCUGGGAGGAAACCCUGCUCGCCCUGCUUGCUCUCAGCCUGCUAGUAUCAUUUACGGGUUGUGAUGUAAAGCAGAGGAAAUGGGGAGUGUGAAUACCAAUCUCACCCUGAAAAGGAUCUGGUUUCCUCAGGAGCAGACCUUCCAGGCCUGGUGGGUGCAUUGCUUUUCUGUGAGAUCAUGACAGAUCUGUGAUGCUGUGGACAUGCUGUGGAAACACAACAGCCUUCCUCAAAUAAAAUGCAGAAGGAAAAAGAAAAUAAAAAGGAUGAAAUUU